rnacentral:rRNA from 1 species
UACGUAGGGUGCGAGCGUUAAUCGGAAUUACUGGGCGUAAAGCGUGCGCAGGCGGCGCGUUAAGACAGGUGUGAAAGCCCCGAGCUUAACUUGGGAAUUGCGCUUGUGACUGGCGAGCUGGAGUGUGGCAGAGGGGGAUGGAAUUCCGCGUGUAGCAGUGAAAUGCGUAGAUAUGCGGAGGAACACCGAUGGCGAAGGCAAUCCCCUGGGCCUGCACUGACGCUCAGUGCACGAAAGCGUGGGGAGCAAACAGG